GACGAACGCUGGCGGCGUGCUUAACCCAUGCAAGUCGAACGGAAAGGCCCUGCUUUUGUGGGGUGCUCGAGUGGCGAACGGGUGAGUGACACGUGAGUAACCUGCCCUUGACUUUGGGAUAACUUCAGGAAACUGGGGCUAAUACCGGAUAGGAGCUCCUGCUGCAUGGUGGGGGUUGGAAAGUUUCGGCGGUUGGGGAUGGACUCGCGGCUUAUCAGCUUGUUGGUGGGGUAGUGGCUUACCAAGGCUUUGACGGGUAGCCGGCCUGAGAGGGUGACCGGCCUCAUUGGGACUGAGAUACGGCCCAGACUCCUACGGGAGGCAGCAGUGGGGAAUAUUGCACAAUGGGCGGAAGCCUGAUGCAGCAACGCCGCGUGCGGGAUGACGGCCUUCGGGUUGUAAACCGCUUUCGCCUGUGACGAAGCGUGAGUGACGGUAAUGGGUAAAGAAGCACCGGCUAACUACGUG
rnacentral:rRNA from 1 species